rnacentral:rRNA from 1 species
ACUCCUACGGGAGGCAGCAGUGGGGAAUCUUGCGCAAUGGGCGAAAGCCUGACGCAGCCAUGCCGCGUGAAUGAUGAAGGUCUUAGGAUUGUAAAAUUCUUUCACCGGGGACGAUAAUGACGGUACCCGGAGAAGAAGCCCCGGCUAACUUCGUGCCAGCAGCCGCGGUAAUACGAAGGGGCUAGCGUUGCUCGGAAUUACUGGGGCGUAAAGGGAGCGUAGGCGGACAUUUAAGUCAGGGGUGAAAUCCCGGGGCUCAACCUCGGAAUUGCCUUUGAUACUGGAUGUCUUGAGUGUGAGAGAGGUAUGUGGAACUCCGAGUGUAGAGGUGAAAUUCGUAGAUAUUCGGAAGAACACCAGUGGCGAAGGAC